rnacentral:rRNA from 1 species
AACGAACGCUGGCGGCGCGUCUUAACAUGCAAGUCGAACGAUCUGUAGCAAUACAGGGAGUGGCGGACGGGUGAGGAACACGUAGGAAUCUACCUUGAAGAGCGGGACAACUUUGGGAAACCGGGGCUAAUACCGCAUAGUACAGAGAUGUUAAAGGGCUAGCAAUAGUCGCUUCGAGAUGAGCCUGCGGUCUAUCAGCUUGUUGGUGAGGUAAUGGCUCACCAAGGCUACGACGGAUAGCCGGUCUGGAGAGGAUGAUCGGCCACACUGGCACUGAGACACGGGCCAGACUCCUACGGGAGGCAGCAGUUAAGAAUCUUGCGCAAUGGGGGAAACCCUGACGCAGCG